CCGGCUAACUUCGUGCCAGCAGCCGCGGUAAUACGAAGGGUGCAAGCGUUAAUCGGAAUUACUGGGCGUAAAGGGUGCGUAGGCGGUUUGUUAAGUCUGUCGUGAAAUCCCCGGGCUCAACCUGGGAAUGGCGAUGGAUACUGGCAAGCUAGAGUGUGUCAGAGGAUGGUGGAAUUUCCGGUGUAGCGGUGAAAUGCGUAGAGAUCGGAAGGAACAUCAGUGGCGAAGGCGGCCAUCUGGGACAACACUGACGCUGAAGCACGAAAGCGUGGGGAGCAAACAGGAUUAGAUACCCUGGUAGUCCACGCCCUAAACGAUGCGAACUGGAUGUUGGUCUCAACUCGGAGAUCAGUGUCGAAGCUAACGCGUUAAGUCCUGCACCUGGGGAGUACGGUCGCAAGACUGAAACUCAAAGGAAUUGACGGGGGCCCGCACAAGCGGUGGAACAUGUGGUUCAAUUCGACGCUACGCGAGGAACCUUACCUGGGCUCGGAAUG
rnacentral:rRNA from 1 species